ACGUUGUGAGGCCGUGUCUCGUGACGCUACCGAGGGGCGGGUUAUCAACAACAGAGUCGGUCUGUGAAGCUAACGUUACCAAGAGACAGAGCUCGAGUGUUGUUUUGAAUUUACGAUAAGACACCGACUGGAAGGGGGGCUAGGGCCUGUGAAUAAGAUGGCGGAUGUAGGAGACGAUGAAACUCGGUCGGUUCUCCCUUCGGCAUCCCGUAACGGUCCGGUCGUCGGUUCGUCUGCGGGCAGCGCGGGCCAGAUCCCAGUUAGCAUUAUGGUAACGUCAGGUCCGCGGAUGGUGAGGAUCGUCAAGUCGGAGUCCGGCUACGGCUUCAACGUUCGCGGUCAAGUUAGCGAAGGAGGACAGCUUCGGAGCAUCAACGGGGAACUGUACGCUCCUCUUCAGCAUGUCAGUGCUGUUUUACCCGGAGGUGCGGCAGACCGAGCUGGGAUAGCAAAGGGUGACAGGAUCCUGGAGGUUAAUGGGGUGAGUGUGGAAGGUGCCACCCAUAAACAGGUGGUGGACCUGAUCCGCGCAGGAGAGAAGGAGCUGGUUCUGGCUGUGUUGUCUGUUCCAGCUCAGGAGGGUGAUGGAUUGGAAGGAGGAGAGGACAUCCAACCCAACUAUGACUACAGUGACAAGCAGGCAGUGCCCAUUUCUGUUCCCACAUACAAACAUGUUGAGCAGCACGCCGAGAGGUUUGUGGUGUACAAUGUGUACAUGUCAGGUAGACAGCUGUGCGCAAAGCGCUACCGGGAGUUUGCCAUCUUGCACCAGAACCUAAAGAGGGAGUUUUCCAACUUCAACUUCCCCAAGAUUCCUGGUAAAUGGCCCUUCUCCCUGUCUGAACAGCAGCUGGAUGCUCGCCGUAGAGGCCUGGAGGAAUAUCUCGAGCGAGUUUGCUCUGUGCGGGUGAUUGGGGAGAGUGACAUCAUGCAGGAGUUUCUCUCUGAAUCAGAUGAGAACUACAAUGGAGUGACGGAUGUAGAGCUGCGGAUAGCCCUGCCAGACAAGACCACCAUCUCUGUCCGAGUCCGUAAGAACAGCACCACAGACCAGGUGUACCAGGCAUUAGUGAUGAAGGUUGGAAUGGACAGUAUUAUGGCGAGCUACUUCGCCCUUUUUGAAGUCAUCAACCACACCUUUGUGCGGAAGCUGGCACCUAAUGAGUUUCCCCACAAGCUUUAUGUGCAGAAUUACACGUCGGCAGUGCCGGGGACUUGCUUGGCGCUCCGCAAAUGGUUAUUCAGCUUCCAGGAGGAGGAGUUGCUAAGAGACAACACGCUGGCACUGCACUACUGCUUUCACCAGGCAUUGGAAGAUGUGAAAAAGGGAUUCAUAAAAACAGAGGACAAAUCCUACCAGCUGCAGAAACUGGCAGAGCAGCGCAAGAUGGCCACGUACCUGAGUCUGUUGCGGACAUGCGAGGGCUACAAUGAGGUGGCGUUCCCCAACUGCUCCUGUGACUCCAGGAGGAAGGGACAUGUCAUCACAGCGAUCAGCAUCCAUCACUUCAAGCUGCACGCUUGUACCGAGGACGGCACGCUGGAGAACCAGGUGAUAGCUUUUGAGUGGGCAGAGAUGCAGCGCUGGGACACUGACGAGGAGGGGAUGGCUUUCUGCUUUGAAUACGCCAGAGGAGAGAAGAAACCUCGCUGGGUCAAGAUCUUCACACCAUACUUUAACUACAUGCACGAGUGCUUUGAGAGGGUCUUUUGUGAGCUGAAGUGGAGGAAACAGGUUGAGGAAGAGGCAUCUGACAAAGACAACAAAAAUUGCAGUAACAAUGAGUAUCUGCCUCCUCUGGAAACACAGCAGAAGGGAUGGUGCCACCUUGGGGGGGAGAUUGCAACUUCCUAAAAUCAUUUGUCAUCACUCGAACUAGAACUGGUCCACUUGCAUCAUCACAGCCACCCCAGAGAGCGCCCAUCGACAAACACAGAACUGAGUGACAGACUGAGGCGAUCCAUGCCCCGAAAAACAAUCUGGAAGUGACCGAUUUUUUUUUGGGCAAAUGGAAAAGCCACACUUAACCGACCCCAGGGAUACACACAGCAAGAAGAGCAAUGAAGGAAAAUAAACAAAAGCCAACUUUCAUGUAAUUUACUAGAUCUCCAUAGCGUGUGUUGUUUUCCUCCAUGCAUCCGCCCUGUGAUGUGUGGCAGGUCACUAGCAAAUUCUCGCCACUGGUUGAGAUGUAACGCAUGCAUACUGGUCUGGGUCACUGCAGCGCUGCGGCACCAUUUGCGCAAAGGGAGCACCUCAAUGAAUCACCACUUGACGAGGGAGCCUACAUGGGAUAGGAUUGUCCAACACGAUCGACUCGGCCCAGAGCCUUCAGCGUGGCCCUCGUCUUCUGAACGGAGCCGGCAGGAUGGAGAUGAAAAUAAGAAUAGAUACAGAAAAAUGGGGCUUUCACUUCUUUAACAGUUAGUGAUAAAGAAAGAAAGCAAAAUCAUGCUUUACACCGACGAUGGACAUUAACACUAAAUGAUGUUUUCUAUCUGUAAGGUCAGAAGUAUUCUGUCUUUGUCACCAAACAUAGGCGACAGAAAUGUAACUAACUGAAAAAAGGAUGUUGGGGGGGGGGAUGGUUCAUAAUUAUGUAUAUGUUUAACAAUCCUAGUUCUGAUAAAAUAUAGAUUAAUAUAAGAGCUAUUAUAAUUGUUUUCUUGUUCUAACGUGAGGAAACACUAACUGAAUUGCAUAGAAACUGCUCUAACUCAUUUUAAUUUUCACCUUUUGUUCUGGCCUAACUCACGCUACAUCUGUUGGCAUUCUGCCAUUAAGGUCAGUAUGUGUAUUUAUCACCCUCGCAAGUGUUUUAUUGUGGUGAGGAGGACGAGGCGUUCCCAUUCUCAGCUCAGUGCUGGGAUCUCUUGAAGAAAAAAAAAAAAAUGUUGAUGGUCCAAACAUGUUUUUGAAAUGGCACUCGAUCUGACCGACAGAUUGAAUUUAAAGACGGGACAGGACAGUUUUGUCUGUCGAGCUGCAGUUUUGUGAACAGGCAGCAGAGAGCAGCAGAGUGUAAGACACAUUUCGUUUUAGGCUUUGAGCAGAACUAAAAAUCUUCUCGGAGCUCCUUAAAGAGUGAUCCCUCGGGCUCUGUAACUCACCCAAAAGUAUCACUCCUCUGCAGUUUAUCCAUUAACCACGUCGGGAGGCCAGAUGGUGUGUGUGUGUGUGUGUGUGUGUGUGUCGUACAGAGAGUAGGUAGAUGCAUAAAGUUGUGUGACUGCAACCACAAACAUUAGCAUACAUAGCAAUGCAUAGCAGAUGUCUGCCUUGUACUGCACCUACAUUGGUACAGUAUUAGUUGUGUGUAUAUGCACAUGACAUAAGAUUAUAUGACAGUUUUACAAUUUACACAGAGUCUUUUGUGUUCUAGAGCAUUUCCAGUUUUUUUUCCCCCACAACAUGACAUGUUUUUAUUUUCUUCUCUUUGUAGAUGUUCAGUUAAAAUAAACCUUUUUUUGUUUCACUUGAAGUGUGUAGAUAGCAGGUUUACAUGCUGACAAAAGACAAUGUGAGUAAAUGUAUUAAUUUCACCUGAAUGCAAUAGAUUUUUGUUUAUUGUCCUAAUGGUUAGAGGUUUAUCCUGGCUGAUUCAUUACUGACUCAUUCAUGAGAUUCACUCGCGAGUGAUGUUGGUUUAUUUUCUAUUCACAGCGACGUUUAGAGCACAAAUUCAAGUUCCACUUGGGAUAAAACAAUUUUUUUUUUACAGUUGAGCUUAGCUUUCGGUUCAAUAAAAAUGUUUAAUUCAUGCCGAGGUUUAGUCAUAAUUUCAGUCAAAUACCUUGGAGUGUGUGUGUGUGUGUGUGUGUGUGUGUGUGUGUGUGUGUGUGUGUUGGCUUUUCUAUCCUCUGCUCGUACUAGUGUCCAGGUUGGUCUCCCGUCAUCACGGGAUGUGGUUGCCGUGGCAGCACCACGUUGGCUCAACACGCUCAGUGCAGCCUCUGUUCCUUUUAUUCCUGUCAGCCAACUGACUCACUCCCAAUAAUGUAUUCAAAGCAGUGUUUUUUGUGUUUGAUGUUUGUUCUCUGUCCCCGUGGCUCAUGCUGCUGUGAAUAGGCUUUUAGAAAGCUGCCGGUUUAUAUAUUUUUUGUGUCUCGGUUUGUAUGUCUGCGCCAGGUGCCAUCUUCCGCUCAGUCACAGGCAGGUGUGCGUACUGUUGUCGUCGGUUUCUGCCAUCAGUGAGAUAAAUGUCAUUGUAACAGUGUUUAGGUGAAAGCAGAGAGAUGACAGGAAUGUUAAGAAGCACGUCUUUGUAUGGUCGGCCCGUGUUUGUUCGUCAGUGUGCGCUGUGCUGUGGGCCACCUGUGUUUGUGUUUGAGAUGCUGGACAGCCUUGGCUUGUAAGUGAAUUAUUCUUUACAGAAAGAGGAUUGAAUUCCACACAGGAGAUAAGAGAUGAAAGAAUGUUGAGUGGUACAGCAAACAUGGUGACAGUAGAAUUUAAAAAUGUCCAUGUGUGGACUGAACAAGAGGCUCAGAAAGUUUGUGUUCAUCACAAGCGGCACUGAAAUGCUCGUCUGAAUGAUGAUGUUGCUGUAGUAACGCUGAUUUCCUUCACAUCAUUCAGUGGCAGAUAUAGUGUAAGAUCUUUUGUUAGUUCGAAUUCUACGGCAUUUCAGGCUCAGUCCAGUGGUCGAACUGGCAUUUACGAGGCCGCUCAGUCAGUCUCUUUCCUUUGACACUGUUGGUUCAGUCGCUACGUUUGUCUCAUCAUGACUGCUUUUGUGUAGAUUUGAUCUUCGUCGACCUCUGAAACACACAUCCGGCUCGAAGGGCAUUAGCAGCGAGCGUUUCCAUUUCGGCUGCUGGGUCCUACCUAUGGCUAACAUGAGGAGUGGGUGUAAGUGCAGUUUUAAAAAGUGUUAGCCUUUGUGUAAUUAAUUUAUGUCCAUUGCUUUGAAACACUGGGCUUUUUCAUGGCAAGUAGGCAGUGACAUUAAUUAAAAACCUAAACCUUGUUUGUCUGUCUUCAGCAUAACCUGUAAAUAGUUGUUUUAAAAAGAAAAAGAGAAUAUCUCUUGGACAAAAUGCACUCUUGUUUCUCCAACGCAAAACUUUUAUUUAUUUAAACAGAAAUUCUAGAAAUUGGGGAAAUGAUAGUGUACGACGCUGGAGCCACCGUUGAUCAUUAACUUUGUGCGUGGGGAACGGCUGAAUGGCUAACGACACAUGAAAGCUGUUUAGAGGGGAAGUAGCAUCUAAAAACAUCAACACCUGAUGCAGAACUAGGCUACAAAAUGAGUUUUAUAUAUAAAAAAAAAAUACACAUGAAGGUUUACUAACCAAUAUAAGAAAAAGGAAAAAAGGUUUGAAA